ACRUGAUCUGAGUUCAGACCGGAGUAAUCCAGGUCGGUUUCUAUCUAUAACUUAAAGCUUUCUCCAGUACGAAAGGACCGAAAAAGCACGGCCCAUGUUUUAUAUACGCCGUGUACAAAAAUUUAUGAUUAAAACUCAAUAAAUAUUGUCUUUAUCACUAACCUCAAGAAAAGAGUA
rnacentral:rRNA from 1 species